GGGGAAUCUUCCGCAAUGGACGAAAGUCUGACGGAGCAACGCCGCGUGAGUGAUGACGGCCUUCGGGUUGUAAAGCUCUGUUAAUCGGGACGAAAGGCCUUCUUGCGAACAGUUAGAAGGAUUGACGGUACCGGAAUAGAAAGCCACGGCUAACUACGUGCCAGCAGCCGCGGUAAUACGUAGGUGGCAAGCGUUGUCCGGAAUUAUUGGGCGUAAAGCGCGCGCAGGCGGAUCAGUCAGUCUGUCUUAAAAGUUCGGGGCUUAACCCCGUGAUGGGAUGGAAACUGCUGAUCUAGAGUAUCGGAGAGGAAAGUGGAAUUCCUAGUGUAGCGGUGAAAUGCGUAGAUAUUAGGAAGAACACCAGUGGCGAAGGCGACUUUCUGGACGAAAACUGACGCUGAGGCGCGAAAGCCAGGGGAGCGAACGGGAUUAGAUACCCCGGUAGUCCUGGCCGUAAACGAUGGGUACUAGGUGUAGGAGGUAUCGACCCCUUCUGUGCCGGAGUUAACGCAAUAAGUACCCCGCCUGGGGAGUACGACCGCAAGGUUG
rnacentral:rRNA from 1 species